AAGACACAGAGACAGCAACAGACGACACAGAGAAAGUGAUGGAGAGAGACAGAAGAAUAGAGUUCCAGACAGUUGUAGAAUGUAUACCAAGGCACAUUGUAAGAGCUAUAAAGAGAGAGGGAGGGAGAGAGAACAGGCAGAACCUGAUAUGUAAAUGAGCAGAGCAAAUGAAACUCACUUUUGACGACCUGAUGAUCAUCCAGACUGUGUUUCUAUUGAGAGAUAAAAGGCUGGUUGAAUGAGUUGUCUAUGAAAGCUACUUCAUCUGUAAGAAAACAGGCGGCUGCACCAGUGACUGGGUCAGUGCUCUAAAAUGACUCUCUCCGGCAAAGA